UUAAGCGACUAAGCGUACACGGUGGAUGCCCUGGCAGUCAGAGGCGAUGAAGGACGUGCUAAUCUGCGAUAAGCGUCGGUAAGGUGAUAUGAACCGUUAUAACCGGCGAUUUCCGAAUGGGGAAACCCAGUGUGUUUCGACACACUAUCAUUAACUGAAUCCAUAGGUUAAUGAGGCGAACCGGGGGAACUGAAACAUCUAAGUACCCCGAGGAAAAGAAAUCAACCGAGAUUCCCCCAGUAGCGGCGAGCGAACGGGGAGCAGCCCAGAGCCUGAAUCAGUAUGUGUGUUAGUGGAAGCGUCUGGAAAGGCGCGCGAUACAGGGUGACAGCCCCGUACACAAAAAUGCACAUAUUGUGAGCUCGAUGAGUAGGGCGGGACACGUGGUAUCCUGUCUGAAUAUGGGGGGACCAUCCUCCAAGGCUAAAUACUCCUGACUGACCGAUAGUGAACCAGUACCGUGAGGGAAAGGCGAAAAGAACCCCGGCGAGGGGAGUGAAAAAGAACCUGAAACCGUGUACGUACAAGCAGUGGGAGCACGCUUAGGCGUGUGACUGCGUACCUUUUGUAUAAUGGGUCAGCGACUUAUAUUCUGUAGCAAGGUUAACCGAAUAGGGGAGCCGAAGGGAAACCGAGUCUUAACUGGGCGUUAAGUUGCAGGGUAUAGACCCGAAACCCGGUGAUCUAGCCAUGGGCAGGUUGAAGGUUGGGUAACACUAACUGGAGGACCGAACCGACUAAUGUUGAAAAAUUAGCGGAUGACUUGUGGCUGGGGGUGAAAGGCCAAUCAAACCGGGAGAUAGCUGGUUCUCCCCGAAAGCUAUUUAGGUAGCGCCUCGUGAAUUCAUCUCCGGGGGUAGAGCACUGUUUCGGCAAGGGGGUCAUCCCGACUUACCAACCCGAUGCAAACUGCGAAUACCGGAGAAUGUUAUCACGGGAGACACACGGCGGGUGCUAACGUCCGUCGUGAAGAGGGAAACAACCCAGACCGCCAGCUAAGGUCCCAAAGUCAUGGUUAAGUGGGAAACGAUGUGGGAAGGCCCAGACAGCCAGGAUGUUGGCUUAGAAGCAGCCAUCAUUUAAAGAAAGCGUAAUAGCUCACUGGUCGAGUCGGCCUGCGCGGAAGAUGUAACGGGGCUAAACCAUGCACCGAAGCUGCGGCAGCGACACUAUGUGUUGUUGGGUAGGGGAGCGUUCUGUAAGCCUGUGAAGGUGUGCUGUGAGGCAUGCUGGAGGUAUCAGAAGUGCGAAUGCUGACAUAAGUAACGAUAAAGCGGGUGAAAAGCCCGCUCGCCGGAAGACCAAGGGUUCCUGUCCAACGUUAAUCGGGGCAGGGUGAGUCGACCCCUAAGGCGAGGCCGAAAGGCGUAGUCGAUGGGAAACAGGUUAAUAUUCCUGUACUUGGUGUUACUGCGAAGGGGGGACGGAGAAGGCUAUGUUGGCCGGGCGACGGUUGUCCCGGUUUAAGCGUGUAGGCUGGUUUUCCAGGCAAAUCCGGAAAAUCAAGGCUGAGGCGUGAUGACGAGGCACUACGGUGCUGAAGCAACAAAUGCCCUGCUUCCAGGAAAAGCCUCUAAGCAUCAGGUAACAUCAAAUCGUACCCCAAACCGACACAGGUGGUCAGGUAGAGAAUACCAAGGCGCUUGAGAGAACUCGGGUGAAGGAACUAGGCAAAAUGGUGCCGUAACUUCGGGAGAAGGCACGCUGAUAUGUAGGUGAAGCGACUUGCUCGUGGAGCUGAAAUCAGUCGAAGAUACCAGCUGGCUGCAACUGUUUAUUAAAAACACAGCACUGUGCAAACACGAAAGUGGACGUAUACGGUGUGACGCCUGCCCGGUGCCGGAAGGUUAAUUGAUGGGGUUAGCCGCAAGGCGAAGCUCUUGAUCGAAGCCCCGGUAAACGGCGGCCGUAACUAUAACGGUCCUAAGGUAGCGAAAUUCCUUGUCGGGUAAGUUCCGACCUGCACGAAUGGCGUAAUGAUGGCCAGGCUGUCUCCACCCGAGACUCAGUGAAAUUGAACUCGCUGUGAAGAUGCAGUGUACCCGCGGCAAGACGGAAAGACCCCGUGAACCUUUACUAUAGCUUGACACUGAACAUUGAGCCUUGAUGUGUAGGAUAGGUGGGAGGCUUUGAAGUGUGGACGCCAGUCUGCAUGGAGCCGACCUUGAAAUACCACCCUUUAAUGUUUGAUGUUCUAACGUUGACCCGUAAUCCGGGUUGCGGACAGUGUCUGGUGGGUAGUUUGACUGGGGCGGUCUCCUCCUAAAGAGUAACGGAGGAGCACGAAGGUUGGCUAAUCCUGGUCGGACAUCAGGAGGUUAGUGCAAUGGCAUAAGCCAGCUUGACUGCGAGCGUGACGGCGCGAGCAGGUGCGAAAGCAGGUCAUAGUGAUCCGGUGGUUCUGAAUGGAAGGGCCAUCGCUCAACGGAUAAAAGGUACUCCGGGGAUAACAGGCUGAUACCGCCCAAGAGUUCAUAUCGACGGCGGUGUUUGGCACCUCGAUGUCGGCUCAUCACAUCCUGGGGCUGAAGUAGGUCCCAAGGGUAUGGCUGUUCGCCAUUUAAAGUGGUACGCGAGCUGGGUUUAGAACGUCGUGAGACAGUUCGGUCCCUAUCUGCCGUGGGCGCUGGAGAACUGAGGGGGGCUGCUCCUAGUACGAGAGGACCGGAGUGGACGCAUCACUGGUGUUCGGGUUGUCAUGCCAAUGGCACUGCCCGGUAGCUAAAUGCGGAAGAGAUAAGUGCUGAAAGCAUCUAAGCACGAAACUUGCCCCGAGAUGAGUUCUCCCUGACUCCUUGAGAGUCCUGAAGGAACGUUGAAGACGACGACGUUGAUAGGCCGGGUGUGUAAGCGCAGCGAUGCGUUGAGCUAACCGGUACUAAUGAACCGUGAGGCUUAACCUU
rnacentral:rRNA from 1 species